rnacentral:rRNA from 1 species
CCUACGGGGGGCUGCAGUGAGGAAUAUUGGUCAAUGGGCGCUAGCCUGAACCAGCCAAGUAGCGUGAAGGAUGACUGCCCUAUGGUUUGUAAACUUCUUUUAUACGGGAAUAAAGUGCAGUAUGUAUACUGCUUUGCAUGUACCUUAUGAAUAUGGAUCGGCUAACUCCGUUCCAUCAGCCGCGGUACUAUGGUGGAUCCGAGCGUUAGCCGGAUUUAUUGGGUUUAACGGGAGCGUAGGAGGGUUGUUACGUCAGUUGUGAAAGUUUGCGGUUCAACCGUAAAAUUGCAGUUGAUACUGGCAUCCUGGAGUACAGUAGAGGUAGGCGGAAUUCGUGGGGUAGCGGUGAAAUGGUUAGAUAUCACGAAGAACUCCGAGUGCGAAGGCAGCCUGCUGGACUGUAACGGACGCUGAUGCUCGAAAGUGUGGGUAUCAAACAGGAUUAGAUACCCCAGUAGC